rnacentral:rRNA from 1 species
AUUGAACGCUGGCGGCAUGCCUAACACAUGCAAGUCGAGCGGAGCGGCGGACGGGUGAGUAAUGCCUAGGAAUCUGCCUGGUAGUGGGGGAUAACGUCCGGAAACGGGCGCUAAUACUGCAUACUAUCAGAUGAGCCUAGGUCGGGUUAGCUAGUUGGUGGGGUAAAGGCCUACCAAGGCGACGAUACGUAACAGGUCUGAGAGGAUGAUCAGUCACCCUGAGACUGAGACACGGUCCAGACGUCUACGGGAGGCAGCAGUGGGGCAUCUUGGGCAAUGGGCGAGAGCCUGUUCCAGACAUGCCGCGUGUGUGAAGAAGGUCUUCUGAGUGUAAAGCACUUUAAGUUGGGAGGCGUUACCAACAGAAUAAGCACCGGCUAACUUCGUGCCAGCAGCCGCGGUAAUAC